UGCCCAGCAACUCCUAUCCCUACCUCCUCGUGGUACUGGCCGGGGUACGAGUAACCUUAGGGAAGAUCGGGUAACCAACUCCGGUGGGAACUCUGGUCGUAUGUUGACAGUGAAGG
rnacentral:ribozyme from 1 species